AUUGAACGCUGGCGGCAGGCCUAACACAUGCAAGUCGAACGGUAACAGGAAGCAGCUUGCUGCUUUGCUGACGAGUGGCGGACGGGUGAGUAAUGUCUGGGAAACUGCCCGAUGGAGGGGGAUAACUACUGGAAACGGUAGCUAAUACCGCAUAACGUCGCAAGACCAAAGAGGGGGACCUUAGGGCCUCUUGCCAUCGGAUGUGCCCAGAUGGGAUUAGCUAGUAGGUGGGGUAACGGCUCACCUAGGCGACGAUCCCUAGCUGGUCUGAGAGGAUGACCAGCCACACUGGAACUGAGACACGGUCCAGACUCCUACGGGAGGCAGCAGUGGGGAAUAUUGCACAAUGGGCGCAAGCCUGAUGCAGCCAUGUCGCGUGUAUGAAGAAGGCCUUCGGGUUGUAAAGUACUUUCAGCGGGGAGGAAGGGAGUAAAGUUAAUACCUUUGCUCAUUGACGUUACCCGCAGAAGAAGCACCGGCUAACUCCGUG
rnacentral:rRNA from 1 species